rnacentral:rRNA from 1 species
AUAGGAGGUCCCGCCUGCCCUGUGACCAAAAGUUUAACGGCCGCGGUAUUUUAACCGUGCAAAGGUAGCGCAAUCAAUUGUCUUUUAAAUGGAGACCUGUAUGAAUGGCAUGACGAGGGUUUAACUGUCUCUUUUUUCCGGUCAAUGAAACUGAUCUGCCCGUGCAGAAGCGGGCAUAUUAACACAAGACGAGAAGACCCUAUGGAGCUUUAGACGCCCACCAAUCACGAAAAGCAGCCCGCAUCACAAGGCCCCCAAACAACGUGACCCUGGUACAAACGUCUUCGGUUGGGGCGACCACGGGGGAAAACAAAGCCCCCGAGAGGAUUGGGGAAAACCCUAAAACCAAGAGCCACAGCUCUAAGUCACAAAACAUUUGACCGACAAUGAUCCGGCUUCCUGCCGAUCAACGGACCAAGUUACCCUAGGGAUAACAGCGCAAUCCUCUCCCAGAGUCCAUAUCGACGAGAGGGUUUACGACCUCGAUGUUGGAUCAGGACAUCCUAAUGGUGCAGCCGCUAUUAAGGGUUCGUUUGUUCAACGAUUAAAGUCCUACGUGAUCUGAGU